UUCUGACCGUAAACGAUGCCAACUAGCGAUCCGCCGGCGGUUUCUAAACGCCCUGGUGGGGAGCUUCCCGGAAACGAAAGUCUUCCGGUUCCGGGGGAAGUAUGGUUGCAAAGCUGAAACUUAAAGGAAUUGACGGAAGGGCACCACCAGGAGUGGAGCCUGCGGCUUAAUUUGACUCAACACGGGGAAACUCACCCGGCCCGGACACCGCGAGGAUUGACAGAUUGAUAGCUCUUUCAUGAUUCGGUGGAUGGUGGUGCAUGGCCGUUCUUAGUUCGUGGAGCGAUUUGUCUGGUUUAUUCCGAUAACGAGCGAGACUCUAGCCUACUAACUAGUCUGCACACUCGCUCGCGAUGUGCGCUAGACUUCUUAGAGGGAUUUUCGGCGUUUCAGCCGCACGAAACUGAGCAAUAACAGGUCUGUGAUGCCCUUAGAUGUCCGGGGCUGCACGCGCGCUACACUGGCGAAAUCAGCGUGCCUGUCCUCUCGCGAAAGCGAUUGGUAAACCGGUGAAAAUUCGCCGUGAUUGGGAUCGGAAAUUGCAAUUAUUUUCCGUGAACGAGGAAUUCCAAGUAAGUGCGAGUCAUCAACUCGCGCUG
rnacentral:rRNA from 1 species